UCAAAAGUAAGGCGGCGAGAUCGAAGGUUUCUCUCUUCAAGAAUAUUGCCUUAUCAUGAGAGUCGUCGGGCAAAGGAAUUUUCCAGGAAUUUCAGAGGAAACAGUUCAAUAUCGGCAGGGAGCGGGAACAAUGCUCGCGCUCUGUUGGGCUCCAGUCAGCUCUGAUGCCCGAGGCAACAUGGAUCUGAAGUCGCAAGCGUCUCUUGUAAAAGCUGCAACCGUUUGCGUCUCACCGGAAGUCUUGUUCCGUGCCGCCGAGUUCCUGGUCCUGCCGAGUUCUUGCUCCCAUGUAGCCUCACCACUGGAUCGGAGGAGGCAUUUAUACCAACAAAGGUGAGGUAGGGUUCCAAAGGCGGGAGCGUACAGGGAGAGCUAGAAGCAAGGUGCGCCAAUGGUGGGCGAGGAUGGCGACGACCGACAGAUGCACCAACUAUCCGGCGAUGCAACAAAUAGGUGGUAGCUCUCCCUGAGCAAAUGUAGCAGCAACAGCGGUAGUAUUCGAAAGGUGCAAUUAAGGAGCGAGAAAGAUUUUAACCAUUCCCGUUUUCAAAUCCAGAGGUGGUGUACAAGAGGUGCCGGCCUGGGGGUUUAAUUGUUGUUAGUUUUUCAUUUUUCACAAGUUGAAAUGAUGAGAAAGAGAGGCAAUAUUGAGAUCACGCCAUCUCUUCUCGUGCAUU